UACGUAGGGGGCAAGCGUUGUCCGGAUUUAUUGGGCGUAAAGGGAGCGUAGGCGGGCGUUUAAGUUAGGUGUUUAAUCUCGGGGCCCAACCCCGGACCGGCACCUAAAACUGGACGUCUUGAAUAGUGGAGAGGUCGGUGGAAUUGGAGGUGUAGCGGUGGAAUGCGUAGAGAUCUCCAAGAACACCCGUUGCGAAGGCGGCCGACUGGACACAUAUUGACGCUGAGGCUCGAAAGCAUGGGGAGCAAACAGG
rnacentral:rRNA from 1 species